GAGGAWCWAGGGGGAAKUAWACGCUUGUGGUUCACUGAUUUGAAGAGCUUGCUCAGAUAUGACGMUKGACAUUGCAAAGAGUGGCGAACGGGUGAGUAACACGUGGGAAACYUWCCUCUUAGCAGGGGAUAACAUUUGGAAACAGAUGCUAAUACCGUAUAACAAUGACAACCGCAUGGUUGUUAUUUAAAAGAUGGUUCUGCUAUCACUAARAGAUGGUCCCGCGGUGCAUUARCUAGUUGGUAAGGUAAUGGCUUACCAAGGCGAUGAUGYAUAGCCGAGUUGAGAGACUGAUCGGCCACAAUGGGACUGAGACACGGCCCAUACUCCUACGGGAGGCAGCAGUAGGGAAUCUUCCACAAUGGGCGAAAGCCUGAUGGAGCAACGCCSCGUGUGUGAUGAAGGGUUUYGGCUCGUAAAACACUGUUKUAAGAGAAGAAUGACAUUGAGAGUAACUGUUCAAUGUGUGACGGUAUCUUACCAGAAAGGAACGGCUAAAUACGUGCCAGCAGCCGCGGUAAUACRUAUGUUCCAAGCGUUAUCCGGAUUUAUUGGGCGUAAAGCGAGCGCAGACGGUUAUUUAAKUCUGAAGWGAAAGCCCUCARCUCAACUGAGGAAUUGCUUUGGAAACUGGAKGACUUGWGUGCAGUAGAGGAAAGUGGAACUCCMUGUGURGCGGUGARRAAAA
rnacentral:rRNA from 1 species